AGUAAAGUAGAGAGAGAAAGAAGAAGAAAGGAAAAAGAGGAAGAAGAAGAAGAAGAAAAAAGAAGGGGAAUCGACCGUAGAGCUUCACUGGAGCUGGGUCUUAGUAUUUUGAGCCCGGAUUAAUGAUUAGCUUGUCGGGAUCUUCGAUUUGAGGAUUUGAAAGGAGUGUUGGUAAAAAUUUAGAGCAUUCGGAAGUUCUUGAGCAAAAGAAGUGAAAUUUGGGGUUUCAUUUGUAUUCUUAAGAAAGAGGUUACACUCAUUAUACGCAUCCCCACACAUUGGAUCUCUUACGCACUGGGUACAAGCAUCGUGUACAUAUACA